rnacentral:rRNA from 1 species
AUUGAACGCUGGCGGCAGGCCUAACACAUGCAAGUUGAGCGAGCGGCGGACGGGUGAGUAAUGUAUGGGGACUGCCCGAUAGAGGGGGAUAACUACUGGAAACGGUAGCUAAUACCGCAUACUAUCGGAUAACCCAUAUGGGAUUAGCUAGUAGGUGAGUUAAUGGCUCACCUAGGCGACGAUCCCUAGCUGGUCUGAGAGGAUGAUCAGCCACACUGUGACUGAGACACGGCCCAGACUCCUCCGGAUGCAGCAGUGGGGAAUAUUGCAGUAUGUGCGCAAGCCUGAUGCAGCGAUGCCGCGGGUAUGAAGAAGGCCCUAGGGUUGUAAAGUACUUUCAGUCGUGAGGCGUGACCGACAGAAGAAGCACCGGCUAACUCCGUGCCAGCAGCCGCGGUAAAC